UAAUACGAAGGGGGCUAGCGUUGUUCGGAGUUACUGGGCGUAAAGGGCGCGUAGGCGGCCCUCCAAGUCGGGCGUGAAAGCCCACGGCUCAACCGUGGAAUUGCGCUCGAGACUGAAGGGCUCGAGGACGGGAGAGGAUGGUGGAAUUCCCAGUGUAGAGGUGAAAUUCGUAGAUAUUGGGAAGAACACCGGUGGCGAAGGCGGCCAUCUGGACCGUUUCUGACGCUGAGGCGCGAAAGCGUGGGGAGCAAACAGGAUUAGAUACCCUGGUAGUCCACGCCGUAAACGAUGAGUGCUAGACGUUGGGGAGCCUAGCUCUUCGGUGUCGCAGCUAACGCAUUAAGCACUCCGCCUGGGGAGUACGGCCGCAAGGUUA
rnacentral:rRNA from 1 species